GUUCGAAAGAUUGUUGAAAGACAAGAUAUGAUCAUAGAGCGAGUUGACAUGGGGAACAAUAUAGUGAAUUCUUUCACUAAGAUCUCAUAACAGUAGUAGUUUAAGCACCACCUUGAUUGCAUGAGCAUCAAGUACGGGGGCGAUUGGCUUUAGUACCGGUGGGAGAUUGAAAGAAUUGUGUCCUACAAGUCAAUCACAGAUGUGACGCGAUGAAAUAUUUUUUAUAUUCUAUCUUCCUAACUCAUGUAUUU
rnacentral:lncRNA from 1 species